rnacentral:rRNA from 1 species
AGCAGCCGCGGUAAUUCCAGCUCCAAUAGCGUAUAUUAAAGUUGUUGCAGUUAAAAAGCUCGUAGUUGAACCUUAGGCCCGUGCGGGCGGUCCGUCCUCUGGGCGAGCACUGCCUCGUCGCGGGUCUCACCUUCUGGCGAGCGUGGAUGCCAUUCAUUUGGUGUCUGCGGGAACCAGGACCUUUACCUUGAAAAAAUUGAGUGCUCAAAGCGGGCUCUUACGCUUGAAUACAUUAGCAUGGAGUAAUGAAAUAGGACGACUGUUCUAUUUUGUUGGUUUCCGGGACGGUCGUAAUGAUUAAUAGGGAUAGUUGGGGGCAUUCGUAUUCAAUUGUCAGAGGUGAAAUUCUUGGAUUUAUUGAAGACGGACUACUGCGAAAGCAUUUGCCAAGGAUGUUUUCAUUAAUCAAGAACGAAAGUUGGGGGAUCGAAGACGAUCAGAUACCGUCGUAGUCUCAACCAUAAACUAUAGCCGACUGGGGAAUCGGGGCGAGUGUUAUUUUUCGUGUACUCGCUCGGCG